rnacentral:rRNA from 1 species
GGGGAAUAUUGCACAAUGGGCGCAAGCCUGAUGCAGCAACGCCGCGUGAAGGAUGAAGGCCUUCGGGUUGUAAACUUCUGUCCUAGGGGAAGAAACAAAUGACAUUACCCUUGGAGGAAGCCCCGGCUAACUACGUGCCAGCAGCCGCGGUAAUACGUAGGGGGCGAGCGUUAUCCGGAAUUAUUGGGCGUAAAGAGUGCGUAGGUGGCACCUUAAGCGCAGGGUUUAAGGCAAUGGCUCAACCAUUGUUCGCCUUGCGAACUGGGGUGCUUGAGUGCAGGAGGGGAAAGUGGAAUUCCUAGUGUAGCGGUGAAAUGCGUAGAUAUUAGGAGGAACACCAGUGGCGAAGGCGACUUUCUGGACUGUUACUGACACUGAGGCACGAAAGCGUGGGGAGCAAACAGGAUUAGAUACCCUGGUAGUCCACGCCGUAAACGAUGAGCACUAGGUGUCGGGGUCGCAAGACUUCGGUGCCGCAGUUAACGCAUUAAGUGCUCCGCCUGGGGAGUACGCACGCAAGUGUA